UACGAGUGCCUCAAGCGUUAUCCGGAAUCAUUGGGCGUAAAGGGUUUGUAGGUGGUCAUGUUAGUCUUUCGUUAAAUUUCCCGGCUUAACCGGGAACCUGCGGAGGAAACGGCAUGACUUGAGGAUGCAAGGGGUCUGCGGAACUCAUAGUGUAGCGGUGAAAUGCGUUGAUAUUAUGGGGAACACCAAAAGCGAAGGCAGCAGACUGGGGCACUCCUGACACUGAAAAACGAAAGCGUGGGUAGCGAAUGGG
rnacentral:rRNA from 1 species